GAGUUUGAUCAUGGCUCAGAUUGAACGCUGGCGGCAUGCCUUACACAUGCAAGUCGGACGGCAGCAUGAUCUAGCUUGCUAGAUUGAUGGCGAGUGGCGAACGGGUGAGUAAUACAUCGGAACGUGCCCUGUAGUGGGGGAUAACUAGUCGAAAGAUUAGCUAAUACCGCAUACGACCUGAGGGUGAAAGUGGGGGACCGCAAGGCCUCAUGCUAUAGGAGCGGCCGAUGUCUGAUUAGCUAGUUGGUGGGGUAAAGGCCCACCAAGGCGACGAUCAGUAGCUGGUCUGAGAGGACGAUCAGCCACACUGGGACUGAGACACGGCCCAGACUCCUACGGGAGGCAGCGAGUGGGGAAUUUUGGACAAUGGGCGAAAGCCUGAUCCAGCAAUGCCGCGUGUGUGAAGAAGGCCUGGUGUAAG
rnacentral:rRNA from 1 species